ACGAACGCUGGCGGCGUGCUUAACACAUGCAAGUCGAACGGAAAGGCCCUGCUUUUGUGGGUUGCUCGAGUGGCGAACGGGUGAGUAACACGUGAGUAACCUGCCCUUGACUUUGGGAUAACUUCAGGAAACUGGGGCUAAUACCGGAUAGGAGCUCCUGCUGCAUGGUGGGGGUUGGAAAGUUUCGGCGGUUGGGGAUGGACUCGCGGCUUAUCAGCUUGUUGGUGGGGUAGUGGCUUACCAAGGCUUUGACGGGUAGCCGGCCUGAGAGGGUGACCGGCCACAUUGGGACUGAGAUACGGCCCAGACUCCUACGGGAGGCAGCAGUGGGGAAUAUUGCACAAUGGGCGGAAGCCUGAUGCAGCAACGCCGCGUGUGGGAUGACGGCCUUCGGGUUGUAAACCGCUUUCGCCUGUGACGAAGCGUGAGUGACGGUAAUGGGUAAAGAAGCACCGGCUAACUACGUG
rnacentral:rRNA from 1 species